GAAAGCUAGGGGAGUGAAUAAGAUUAGAUACCCUAAUAGUCCUAGCCGUAAACAAUGAAUACCGGCGCUGUGCACAUCGAACCAUGCAAUGUUGUAGCUAACGCGUUAAAUAUUC
rnacentral:ncRNA from 1 species